GUGUCAGCAGCCGCGGUAAUACGUAGGUGGCAAGCGUUGUCCGGAUUUAUUGGGUUUAAAGGGUGCGUAGGCGGUUCUUUAAGUCAGUGCUGAAAUACUCCAGCUUAACUGGAGGGGUGGCAUUGAUACUGGGGAACUUGAGUGUAGUCGAGGUAGGCGGAAUUGACGGUGUAGCGGUGAAAUGCUUAGAUAUCGUCAAGAACACCGAUAGUGAAGACAGCUUACUAGACUACAACUGACGCUGAGGCACGAAAGUGUGGGGAUCAAACAGGAUUAGAUACCCUUGUAGUCC
rnacentral:rRNA from 1 species